rnacentral:rRNA from 1 species
AGAACGAACGCUGGCGGCGCGUUUUAAGCAUGCAAGUCGGACGGUAAGGCUGGUAGCAAUAUCGGCCCAAGAGUGGCGAACGGGUGAGUAACACGUAGGUGAUCUGCCUCUGGAUGGGGGAUAGCCCGUGGAAACACGGGGUAAUACCGCAUGAGGCCCAUGGUGUAAAGGCCGUGGGUGAAAGGUGCAAUUGCAUCGUCUGGGGAUGAGCCUGCGGUCCAUUAGGUAGUUGGCGGGGUAAGAGCCCACCAAGCCGACGAUGGAUAGCCGGCCUGAGAGGGUGUACGGCCACACUGGAACUGAGACACGGUCCAGACUCCUACGGGAGGCAGCAGCUAAGAAUCUUCCGCAAUGGGGGAUACCCUGACGGAGCGACGCCGCGUGGAUGAUGAAGGCCGUAAGGUUGUAAAAUCCUUUUGUCGGUGAAGAAUAAGCGUGGGAGUGGAAAGCCCACGUGAUGACGUUAGCCGAUGAAUAAGCCCCGGCUAAUUACGUGCCAGCAGCCGCGGUAAUACGUAUGGGGCAAGCGUUGUUCGGAGUUAUUGGGCGUAAAGGGCGUGUAGGCGGCUCAUCAAGUCUGGUGUGAAAAUGCAGGGCUUAUCCCUGCAGAUGCGCUGGAAACUGGUGGGCUUGAGUUCUUGAGGGGAAGCUGGAAUUCCAGGUGUAGGGGUGAAAUCUGUAGAUAUCUGGAAGAACACCGGUGGCGAAGGCGAGCUUCUAUCAGAGGACUGACGCUGAGGCGCGAAAGCGUGGGGAGCAAACAGGAUUAGAUACCCUGGUAGUCCACGCUGUAAACGAUGUGCACUAGGCGUGGGGCCCGUACGGGUUCUGUGCCGUAGCUAACGCGAUAAGUGCACCGCCUGGGGAGUAUGCUCGCAAGGGUG